AUUUGACAUAAACACAAUAAAGACCUGGUGGAAUGUUGAGCCAUGCUUUUUGAAGAACAGUCUUCAGCUACUCUUUAGUUUGAGGUUUGCAUUUUCAUAUGUAUUUCUUGAGUAUAUGCCACAGAUCCUUGAUUGGAUUCAAAUUGGGAAAAUUUGGGACUCAUUCCAGAACUUGGACCCUAUUAUGGCAAAGCUAAGCACUAGUGGAGUAUGCAGAUUAUGUGACUUCGUGAGUUCUUGCUGGAAGAUAGAAUCUCCCUGUGAUCAAAGAUGGGCAUGGAAGGCAGGAAAUGUUGUUCCAAGAUUUCCUGAUAGCGAUAUGUAUUGCACCUCUUGUAUGGUACCAAAUCACCUAUUCCAGAAGAGCUGAAAUGCCUCCACACUUGCACAAUACUUAGAAAGUUCACUUCUUGCUUCACACAGCUUUGGAGGAAGUUCUUCAUUUGGCUUACAGAAGACUCUCUGAUAUUUCUGUAUAGACUAGGAAGGGAGAUUCAUCAGACCCUAUCACCUUUCCCCCAGUCAGUCUCCAUACAGAAUAAAUGGUUUCUAGUGGUUUCCUGUGCCAACCUCUUCUUUUGUUGAACUGGUGUAACAUAAAUUUUUCAUUUACUUUUGUAAAAGUCACAUAUCAUGUUAUGUAUACUGCUACUAGCAGUUUGUCAAGAUACAGGUAGCCCUAUAUGUUUGGUCCAUUCCAUAGUUCUGCAGCUUCCACAAAUAUACCAGAUUGUUAUGUGACAACAAGAUGGUGCAAAACUCUCUCUUCUCUGGCAAUAAUCUUUAGUGAUCUACUGUUGCUGCAUCCAGGCACAAUGGAACAGGUUUCCUUGUAGUAUUUGAGAGUUCUGAGUAUAGAUUGGUUUAAGCCCGAUUCUCAAACAAUCUUUUUCAUAGUUAUUUCAUUUUGUUGGCCAUGAAGGAUCUUGCAAUGUAUUUACAAUUCUAACCUCUUACCAUUUUUCUAACUUGUGGAGCAUGCAGAAAGUUUACCAGAUUUUAUACUCUCUUUCAUUUGUAUAUAUUGGCUGGACAUGGUCGACACAGAUCAAGAUAAAAUUUGCAUGUCCAGUCAAACAGUGUCUGCUGAAAGCUCGAUUUGCA
rnacentral:lncRNA from 1 species